GAGUUUGAUCAUGGCUCAGAUUGAACGCUGGCGGCAGGCCUAACACAUGCAAGUCGAGCGGAUGACGGGAGCUUGCUCCUUGAUUCAGCGGCGGACGGGUGAGUAAUGCCUAGGAAUCUGCCUGGUAGUGGGGGACAACGUUUCGAAAGGAACGCUAAUACCGCAUACGUCCUACGGGAGAAAGCAGGGGACCUUCGGGCCUUGCGCUAUCAGAUGAGCCUAGGUCGGAUUAGCUAGUUGGUGGGGUAAUGGCUCACCAAGGCGACGAUCCGUAACUGGUCUGAGAGGAUGAUCAGUCACACUGGAACUGAGACACGGUCCGGACUCCUACGGGAGGCAGCAGUGGGGAAUAUUGGACAAUGGGCGAAAGCCUGAUCCAGCCAUGCCGCGUGUGUGAAGAAGGUCUUCGGAUUGUAAAGCACUUUAAGUUGGGUAGGAAGGGCAGUAAGGUCAAUACCUUGCUGUUUUGACGUUACCGACAGAAUAAG
rnacentral:rRNA from 1 species